UUUUUUAAGUCUCGUUUAUGGAAAUGUACUGAAACAGGACAGGGAUGCUGAUCUGUCGUUGAAAAUUGAACAAGGAUUUGGACCGAAUGGACUUGGAAUUCUAUCAAUUACUGAUGUUCCAGAUUUUCCUUCAUUACGUCGAAAUCUUCUAUGCCUUUCAGAUAGAUUAGCUGCCUUGCCUGAAGAUGUGAAGAAGGAACUUGAGGAUCCUCAGAGUAGGUAAUUAUUUUGCUUUUUUU